rnacentral:rRNA from 1 species
GGGGUGCUCGAGUGGCGAACGGGUGAGUAACACGUGAGUAACCUGCCCUUGACUUUGGGAUAACUUCAGGAAACUGGGGCUAAUACCGGAUAGGAGCUCCUGCUGCAUGGUGGGGGUUGGAAAGUUUCGGCGGUUGGGGAUGGACUCGCGGCUUAUCAGCUUGUUGGAGGGGUAGUGGCUUACCAAGGCUUUGACGGGUAGCCGGCCUGAGAGGGUGACCGGCCACAUUGGGACUGAGAUACGGCCCAG